GGGAGUUUAGGGAAGUAGCCAAACCCGCCUGACUGUAAAUCAGGUUCUACGGAUUCGUUGGUGCAAAUCCAGCAAUUCCCGC
rnacentral:tRNA from 10 species